UCCGAGUUGACCCCGGCAGUAUCCCAUGAGUUCCCACCAUUACGUGCUGGCAACAUAGAACGAGGGUUGCGCUCGUUGCGGGACUUAACCCAACAUCUCACGACACGAGCUGACGACAACCAUGCACCACCUGUGCACGAGCCCCGAAGGGAAGACCUUAUUUCUAAGGCUGUCCUCUGUUGUCUAGCCCGGGUAAGGUUCUUCGCGUUGCGUCGAAUUGAACCACAUGCUCCACCGCUUGUGCGGGCCCCCGUCAAUUCCUUUGAGUUUCAACCUUGCGGCCGUACUCCCCAGGCGGGAUGCUUAAUGCGUUAGCUGCGCCACUGAUAAGCAUGCUUACCAACGGCUAGCAUCCAUCGUUUACGGCGUGGACUAC
rnacentral:misc_RNA from 1 species